AUUGAACGCUGGCGGCAGGCCUAACACAUGCAAGUCGAGCGGAUGAAGGGAGCUUGCUCCUGGAUUCAGCGGCGGACGGGUGAGUAAUGCCUAGGAAUCUGCCUGGUAGUGGGGGAUAACGUCCGGAAACGGGCGCUAAUACCGCAUACGUCCUGAGGGAGAAAGUGGGGGAUCUUCGGACCUCACGCUAUCAGAUGAGCCUAGGUCGGAUUAGCUAGUUGGUGGGGUAAAGGCCUACCAAGGCGACGAUCCGUAACUGGUCUGAGAGGAUGAUCAGUCAAACUGGAACUGAGACACGGUCCAGACUCCUACGGGGGGCAGCAGUGGGGAAUAUUGGACAAUGGGCGAAAGCCUGAUCCAGCCAUGCCGCGUGUGUGAAGAAGGUCUUCGGAUUGUAAAGCACUUUAAGUUGGGAGGAAGGGCAGUAAGUUAAUACCUUGCUGUUUUGACGUUACCAACAGAAUAAGCACCGGCUAACUUCGUG
rnacentral:rRNA from 1 species